rnacentral:ncRNA from 15 species
GAAUAGCGUGUAGUAAUAGGUGUAAAUUGCGUGCAAUUUGCUUAAAAGGGAAGUCGGUGCGAAUCCGACACUGUCCCGCAACUGUAAAUGUGAGCGACUUUUCAGCAACCACUGUCAAAUGAUGGGAAGGAGAAAAGUGGCAAUGACCAUGAGUCAGGAUACCUGCCUGUUACGAGUACACACCA